rnacentral:rRNA from 1 species
AGUAUUCGACACUGGGUUAUUCAUAGCAUUACUAUACCUUAGCUAUUCAUAGCAGGUCGGUUAUUUGUCAAUACGAGUUUAGCUUAUGACGUGUUCGGAAGUCCUACAAAUUCAUUAUAA